rnacentral:tmRNA from 1 species
GGGGGCGACCAGGUUUUGACGGAGUUGCAACGGCGAUUGCCGCGUGUCGUGGGGCUGGAGGCCACGUAAAUAACCAGCAAAAAAAUAAGUGCCGACGAUCACGUCGAGUACGCUCUCGCUGCUUAAUUAAAAACUAAGCGAC